rnacentral:rRNA from 1 species
AACGAACGCUGGCGGCAUGCCUAACACAUGCAAGUCGAACGAUCCCUUCGGGGAUCGUGGCGCACGGGUGCGUAACGCGUUGGAACCUGCCCUUAGGUUCGGAAUAACUCAGAGACAUUUGAGCUAAUACCGGAUAAUGUCUUCGGACCAAAGAUUUAUCGCCUUUGGAUGGGCCCGCGUUGGAUUAGCUAGGUGGUGGGGUAAAGGCCUACCAAGGCGACGAUCCAUAGCUGGUCUGAGAGGAUGAUCAGCCACACUGGGACUGAGACACGGCCCAGACGCGUACGGGAGGCAGCAGUGGGGAAUAGUGGAAAAUGGGCGAAAGCCUGAUCCAGCAAUGCCGCGUGAGUGAUGAAGGCCUGAGGGUUGUAAAGCUCGUUUACCCGGGAUGAUAAUGACAGUACCGGGAGAAUAAGCCCCGGCUAACUCCGUG